CUCAGCUUAUGGCAGUACUGGAUCCUUAACCCACUGAGUGAGGCCGGGGAUCAAACCUGCAUCCUCAUGAACACUCCGUUGAGUUCUUAACCUGCUAAGCCACAAUGGGAACUCCCGAAUUUCUAUCUUUUGUAUAACAUGUUGUGUUGUUUAGGAAAGGUUUGGUGGCAAUUAAGAAAGACCUGAAAAUUAGUACCAUAAGCAAGAUAGAUGCUUAUAUCUUUCCAAAAGGACCUUUUGAGGUGGGCAGUUCAGUGCUGCUGUUAUUAGAAAUUCAGCUUCUCUGUCACGUUGCUCUCCCAUGUGUGGCUUCUACUUCAAAGGUGGUCACUUCACAGUUAACUUAGUAGGGUGCUAGUUUAUUAUGAAAGGAUAUAACUCAGAAACAAUGAAAUGAUAGAGAUGUAUAGCCAAGGAGAAGGAGUGAGGAGCUUUCAUGCCCUCUACCAGGUGCUGUCACCCUUCUAGCACCUCCUUGUGUUCACCAGAAUGAAAACUCACCAGAAUCUCAUGCUUUCGGCAUCUUUGUGGAGGCUUCAGUAAGCCACAAAUGAAUGAAACAUUUGGCCAUUGGUGACAGAACCCAAUCUCUAGCUCUUUCUCCCUCUUCAGAGGUGGAGUUGUGCAGGUAAAGCUGGAAGUUCCAACCUUCUAAUCAUAAGGUUGGUUCCCCUGGCAACUAGCAUUCUCAUCCUUUGGGAAUUUCCAAAAGUCAUAUACAUAAACUGAGAUAUGGUUGAAAAUAAAAGACAGUCCUUUCGUCUUUGUCACUUUGGAGCUAUUUCAGGAACCAAGGACAGAAGGCCAAAAUAUAACCAAAGGUACUCCCAUCAUUCUGGUCACUUAGGAAAUUACAAGAAUUUUAGGGGCUUUGUAUCAAGAACCUUGUACUGGGAGUUCCUCUGGUGGCUAAGUGGAAAUGAACAUGACUAGUAUUCAUGAGGAUGCAGGGAUUGAACCCACGACCUCAUGAAUGCUAGUCACAUUUGUUUCUGCUGAGCCACAACGAGAACUCUCCGAGAUACUUUUUUUCAAACCAGCCUUGUUCAGUAAUACAUUGUCGAAGAAGACACAGGUUAAAAUUGAGAGGAUGGGAAAGUAUGCCAAGUGAAUGUGUCAUCCAGGGAAAGUCAAUGAUUGAAUUAAUU